CCACUCUCAGGGUCGCACCUGGAGAGUAUCCACUACUCCACCAGUCUCGACUAUGGGAGGGAGAGUCAAGCAGAAUCAUACCAGUUCCAUUCCUAGCUUGGGCAGUGGCUAGCGAAUGGAAGGUAAUCUGCUACAAGU